rnacentral:rRNA from 1 species
AGAGUUUGAUCCUGGCUCAGAAUCAACGCUGGCGGCGUGCCUCAGACAUGCAAGUCGAACGCGAAAGUUCCCUUCGGGGAGCGAGUAGAGUGGCGCACGGGUGAGUAACACGUAGGUAAUUUGCCUUUGGGUGAGGAAUACCAACCGGAAACGGUUGUUAAUACCGCAUAAUGCAGCGGCAUCACAUGAUGACAGUUGUUAAAGCGGGGGCUUCGCAAGAACCUCGCGCCUGAAGAGAAGCCUGCGGCAGAUUAGGUAGUUGGUGAGGUAAUGGCUCACCAAGCCUGCGAUCUGUAACCGGCCUGAGAGGGCGGUCGGUCACACUGACACUGACAUACGGGUCAGACUCCUACGGGAGGCAGCAGUCGGGAAUUUUGGGCAAUGGGCGAAAGCCUGACCCAGCAACGCCGCGCGAAGGAUGAAAUUUUUCGGAAUGUAAACUUCGCAAGAAUGGGAAGAAUAAGUGGGGGACAAUACCCCCCAUGAUGACGGUACCAUUUGUAAGCUCCGGCUAACUUCGUGCCAGCAGCCGCGGUAAUACGAGGGGAGCAAGCGUUGUUCGGAUUUACUGGGCGUAAAGGGCGCGUAGGCGGCUCUACAAGUCACUUGUGAAAUCUCCGGGCUUAACUCGGAACGGUCAAGUGAUACUGUCGAGCUAGAGUGUGGAAGGGGCAACUGGAAUUCUCGGUGUAGCGGUGAAAUGCGUAGAUAUCGAGAGGAACACCUGCGGCGAAGGCGGGUUGCUGGGCCAACACUGACGCUGAGGCGCGAAAGCUAGGGGAGCGAACGGGAUUAGAUACCCCGGUAGUCC